AAAGAUCUAAAUAAUUACAUAAAUAAUGCUUCUAAAAAUAUGGUCACAGGACACUGUGACUGAGGAGUUUUCUCUUAGUGAUCUGAAGCUAACAUUGCGUCAGGACACCACAGUGCUGUUAUAAACACACACACACAAAACACAGAGUAUCACUAAGUCUGUAACAAUUUACAUAAAGAUGAACUGGAACGAUGUAUUAAUAUUUACUAUAUAUGUAAAUUUGCCAGUGCCUACUGUGUGCUAGGCCUUUAUAAAUGCUACAUCUAUUCUUAGACCGGCUCUGCAAGGUAGGGAUGAUGCUGAGGGGACAGGCCUCGGAGCAAUGGCCCCUGCCAUCUACCUGCAGCCUCAAGGCUGGUGGGGACAGAACUGGGACCCACCCUGGCCUGGCUGCUCCUCCCACUCCACCAUGCCUGUCCUUUUUUUUAUGGGGUACAGGACUGGAGAACUGUCAAAUAAGCCCAAAAAAGUAAAAAUAGAAGACAAAAAGUGGUUAAAGGAAAGCACACAAAUGGAAGUUCUUUGUUUCUACAGCAGGAUCCCACGAGGCCCGGGGAACGCGGUGUGGGGCAGCCUUGUGUUUCUGCCGUUUGCUUCCACUUCCACCAGCGCCACGCGGCACGCCUGCUCUCUUCGCUUACGUGCAGGUCUGGGGUGUGGGACACUUAGCUUGUUUCCGUUGUUUCAUGUGAAGAGAUUGGUUUAUUUAAACAACUGGCAUGAAAUGGCCAAGCAAAAGUUGCUUUGAAUUUAACCUAUUCUAAUUUUAUAAAUUUUGUGAUUUAACUAGAGAAGAAAAUCUAGAAGUAUUUUACCAUCUAGGUUGGAAAACCAGUUUAAACUGAAGAGGAUUUUUAGCAGCAUCUCAACCACUAAAAAAAAAGGCCUAAAAAUGAAAAUUUUUUCCGUAGUUUGGCAUCGCUGGGAGGUACUGUUUUCCUCAGGUUUCUGUACCACUUUCGAACGACGUGCCCUCUCCAGUGGGCUUGGAUUCUGAAACACAGGUUUGACAAGGAUUCACUCUGGAUGACUCCAGGUGGACAAAUAUUUCUGUACAUGCUGUGAGCCCUGUGCUGUCUGAGGCCCCGGGGAGAUGACAGUGGCCUAGAAAAGGGAGAAUCCCUGUAUCUUCCCCAGUUAGUUAGCGGGCGUGGUGGCCACAGGUCCACCUCACGCGGCACGGGCGCUGGCAUCCCGGGGGGACUGGGCCCCUUCGCACCUCGUUGCGCACUUUAUUCGGAACAGGUGGGCCCCGUCGCGUAUCACUCGGGUCUGAUACUGGCUCUUCCUGCAGAGAGGACAGGUUUUCUUAUUUGCGAACUUUUCAAAGGCCUGAAGGCAUGCCUGAGGAAAAACAUUUCACUUAAAAUUUUACUAGUAAUUACUUUUAAACAUUUUUACUUCUAAUGUAAUUAUAGUGUUCUUUCCUCUCAUAAUUCUGAGACUUAAUCCAAUUUAGAUUAUAAAGUGAAGAAGUUUCAUCAGAUGUUAACACCUUCCUCAUGAAACCUGUUCUAAAAAUGAUUUUUUUACAAGAAUAUACAUGCACAGACAUCAAAAACUUUUGAAAAUCAACUAGUGUAAAGGAGACUUUAAAAUGAGUACGGUUUCUCCGAGCUACAAGAAUGAUACACUGCGCACUUGAUCAUGGGAGGGGGCAGGAUUUACUCACUCUGUGAAACACAUGGGAACAUGAAAGCAGCACCUGUUCACAAGUAAACAGAAGGAUGUUUGAAGUUUAAUAAAAGAGAAGCAGCAUAAAUGUAUUAAUUAAAAGAAAAA